rnacentral:lncRNA from 1 species
GGUGAGAACUAUCUUCCAUAGUUCCCAGUGGGCUCGGCCGCCGACUCUGCCGAUCUCCCCACUAGGUCCAAGUGGGCACAAGUAACAACAGAUAGAUAGAUAGAUAUGUAUCUGAAAGCUGUAAAUGCGAUAGUAGGAAAACUAUGCUACUAUGCCCAUAAUCAUGAAUAUGAAUGCAUGCAUCAUAUAAUAAAGGUUUGCUACCAUGCUAACAAAUUCGAUCCAUGUUCGAAUAGCAAUGUUCAAUGACAUUAUUAAACCUUUA